GCAUGCCCGGACAGCCGUUGGCUGUCCGGGCAUGCUGGGAGUUGUAGAUUUGCAACAGCUGAAGGCACCCUGGUUGGGAAACACUGUUCUAAUGUGUAUGGGAAAGAGAAGAAUCGGUCAAUUUGGGUUCAAAGUGUCCGCCCCACAAACCAUAGUUUUCUAGCAGUGGCUUAGCUCCCCUCUCCCUAUUCAGAACAUAUGAACACUUGACCGAGCGAAUGUUCAUCUGGCAGGCACCUAUAGGCUUUUUUCUUAAUGAUUUUUCUGGUUAUAGAGAGAUCUGUCCAUUAUUAUCGCUGCCUUUGCUGCAUUUGCCUUCAUUUGCAUGACCUUGCGUUUGGUCUGUGUAAGUGUUAGUGAGGAAUUGUUAUCACGGCACAUAUGCCAGUUGUCUGACGUAAAUCAUGCGCACAUUUUUUGACUCCCAUUUCCCGACAGACUUAGGGCAGGGUCACACGGAGCGCAUCCGCAGUGUGUUUCACGUUGCUGAUGCACCGAUGGCAUUCACAAGAGCAAUCUCCUAGCUGCGGCUGCGUGUCCGCUUUUGACGGUAGAUUUCCUGUGGCACAUCUAUGUGUCUAUAGCAGGCAAUCAACUGUUACGUGCCGACACGCAGAGCUGCUCAGCCGCAGCAGGGAGCUCGCUCUUGUGACUGCUGUCGGCGCAUUCGCAACGUGAAAUGAGCUGCGGAUGCGCACCAUGUGACUCUACCCUUACCCAUACAGAUGAGUAUUUUCAUCCCUUUUACAGUUACAAGUUUUAAGCAGCCGCUGGUCUAAUGACCCAAACUGGCAGCAGCAUAGAUGACUGAUUAUUUUAGUUCGGGUCUCUAGAGUCCCGUCCAUAUAGCAAUGAAAAAGCCUGGCUGAAGAAGCAUGAUCCUCUAAGGGUGCGUUCACACAGAUGGAUUACCUGCGGAAUUUCCGCAGCUUAUUUGCUGCUGAAAAUUUGCAGAGGAUUUUGCUACCAUCGACUUCAAUGGGAAAAUCUGCAAAUCUGCCUCUAUAGGGGAUUUUCUGCUGACCCAUCAAUGGUUGCAAAAUCUCGGCUGGCCGCAGCAGAUUUUCAACUGCGGGAUUUAUGCUACGGAAAAUCGGUGGGGACUGCAGCGGAUUUUCCGCAGCGUAAAUCUCGCCGCGGAAAAUCUGCUGCGGACAGCCGAGAAGAGCCCGCCCACUUUCAAAUAUGCAGCGGAAAACCCGCAAAAAAAAUCCGCCCGUGUGAACGCACCCUCGUUGGGAAAAACUGCUCUAUUGGAAUAAAACAGGGAAAAAAUCUAAUCCUGGCUUCGUGGUAGAGCUUGAGUACUGGGUUGCUUUCUGGGUAUGCUGGGAGUUGUAGUUUUAAAACAGCUGGAGGCACCCUGGUUGGGAAACACUGCUCUAAAGCUGCCAUUCUAACCCAGUCCUCAUGACCCACCAAUGUUGCUUUUUUUCCCCGUUACUCUAUUGCAGUGUUUCCCAACCAGGGUGCCUCCAGAUGUUGCAAAACUAUAAAUCCCAGCAUGCGCUUUGGCUGUCCAGGCAUGCUGGGAGUUGUAGUUUUGCAACACCUGGAGGCACCCUGGUUGGGAAACACUGCUCCUCUAGUGGAAUAAAACAGGGAAAAAUUCUAAUCCUGGCUUCACGGUGGAGCUUGAGGACUGGGUUGGUUAAUACAUUUGCCGCAUCUUUAGUUUGACACAGAUCGAAUGUAUAGCCUGUAUGUUUUUAUAUUGGUAAUCAUCCAGCUUUCCCGGAAGCAGAUAUAACUAGGAAAUGACUGACAAGAAUCUAUACGCAUGGGGUCAAUUCACGGACUGCAAAAUAUAUAUAUAUUGUUAAAAUUUAAGCGGGACAUGCUGUGUCACCUCUGCAGGCUUCUGCUGUAUAUCCUGUGGCCAUGAUCAUUCUGGGGGUAUUAUACUAUUACACUGAUGUAUAUAGAGGCCGAUUAGCUGUAGAAGCUUUGGCUCAUUGUAUAUAAGGAAACGCUGUAUAGUCUUACCUCCUGCUUCUCCUUCACCCUUUCUAAUGCAAUACAGGCAGCUUCGUUCAUCCUUUUAGGUCAGUGUUUCCACAACCAGGCUGCCUCCAGCUGUUGCAAAACUACAACUCCCAGCAUGCCCGGACAGCCGAAGGCUGUCCGGGCAUGCUGGGAGUUGUAGUUUUGCAACAGCUGGAGGCACCCUAGUUGGAGAAAACCCUGCCUUAGGUAAAUCCUCUGCCUCCCAAGACUAACUAUAUGCACUUUUAGAUGGGAACUAUUUUAUUUGCUGGUAGACCUUUUAUUGCGUAGGUACUGGAAAUAUUUAAACAAAAAAAAAAGGCUCGAGCAGACGGGUAAUUUAAUAUGUACAGUAUAUUUUAGAGAAAAAAAAAACAGAUACUGCAGAAGAAAUUCUAUAUUUCAUUGUGCCUGUUGGUAAGAAAAAAAAAAGGAGGUAAAAAAAAAAAAGGUGCCCGUUUAUGAAUUGGUGAAAAUGAACUUUAAAGAACAAAUCAUUGACCUGUGAAGUAUUUCUAUUACGGUUAACAAUGUAAACCAAUUUGUAAAAUAAAAAGUGAAAUUGAAAGA